rnacentral:piRNA from 1 species
UAAAAAUGCCAGAGAUCUCCUUAUGAGG